rnacentral:lncRNA from 1 species
AGUAAGGUUGAUUGAUACAUGCUAACAAGAUAAUGAGUCUAGUUCCGACAACCUUUUAUUAUCCGAAAGUUUAUCACGCACUUUUAUCGCAAUUUUAUGUUACGAAACCAAAUCAAAACAAACCCGCACUUAGAAUCAUGGAAUAUGUGUAUGUGCAACUGAUAUCACACUAGUCCCUGUGGAUACGAUAUAACGAAAAUACUUGCUUUUGUACUUUCAUCAAUUAUUACACUUAUUUAUGAAACAUAUUUCAUGACACUUGGAUUCGGCUCAAAAUCCUUCUUUUACUUAACAUCAAUGUAAUUUUCUUCAUUGCUAGAAACCGUGGGUUUUAGUUCAAAAUCUUUAAUGGCUCCUUUCUUUUCCUCUGCAUCUAUCCCAUGAUAAAGGAAAGGAUUAGGUCUUGGUUCAAAAUCUUUAAUGGCUCCUUUAUAAGAGAAAGCAUUAGGUCUUGGUUCAAAAUCUUUAAUUGCUCCUUUCUUUUCCUCUGCAUCUAUCCCAUGAUAAAGGAAAGCAUUAGGUCUUGGUUCAAAAUCUUUAAUGGCUCCUUUAUAAGAGAAAGCAUUAGGUCUUGGUUCAAAAUCUUUAAUGGUUCCUUUAUAAGUGAAAGCAUUAGGUCUUGGUUCAAAAUCUUUAAUGACUCCUUUCUUUUCCUCUGCAUCUAUCCCAUGAUAAACGAAACCAUUAGGUCUUGAUUCAAAAUCUUGAAUGGCUCCUUUAUAAGAGAAAGCAUUAGGUCUUGGUUCAAAAUCUUUAAUGGCUCCUUUAUAAGUGAAAGCAUUAGGUCUUGGUUCAAAAUCUUUAAUGACUCCUUUCUUUUCCUCUGC